rnacentral:rRNA from 1 species
CACAGAGGGUGAGAAUCCCGUGCGAUGAGAUGUCCCAGACCUAUGUAAAGUUCCUUCGAAGAGUCGAGUUGUUUGGGAAUGCAGCUCUAAGUGGGUGGUAAAUUCCAUCUAAAGCUAAAUAUUGGCGAGAGACCGAUAGCGAACAAGUACAGUGAUGGAAAGAUGAAAAGAACUUUGAAAAGAGAGUGAAAAAGUACGUGAAAUUGUUGAAAGGGAAGGGCUAGAGAUCAGACUUGGUAUUUUGUAUGUUACUCUCUCGGGGGUGGCCUCUACAGUUUACCGGGCCAGCAUCAGUUUGAGCGGUAGGAUAAGUGCAAAGAAAUGUGGCACUGCUUCGGUAGUGUGUUAUAGUCUUUGUCGAUACUGCCAGCUUAGACUGAGGACUGCGGCUUCGGCCUAGGAUGUUGGCAUAAUGAUCUUAAGUCGCCCGUCUUGAAACACGGACCAAGGAGUCUAACGUCUAUGCGAGUGUUUGGGUGUAAAACCCGUACGCGUAAUGAAAGUGAACGUAGGUAGGACCUCCUUUAGGAGUGCACUAUCGACCGAUCCUGAUGUCUUCGGAUGGAUUUGAGUAAGAGCAUAGCUGUUGGGACCCGAAAGAUGGUGAACUAUGCCUGAAUAGGGUGAAGCCACAUUAAACUCUGGUGGAGGCUCGUAGCGGUUCUGACGUGCAAAUCGAUCGUCGAAU